rnacentral:lncRNA from 1 species
GGAGCUUCAUUAAUAGAAAACGUAGCAGCUAUAUUUUAAAAGAGAUUAAACAAAGACCCAGUUUCAAGAUUCAUAAAAUCUUAGGCUUGUUGUACCCCAUAGGAAAUUAGGUGUAAUAGAUAGAUACAUUCAACACAGUGUUCACAAUUAAAUGACUGAACAAAUGAACAUCCUUUAGGAACCAACUUGUGACAAUUGAUGUGAUAUAGUUGCUACGUGCUCUUUUAGGGAGAAUUUAGAAAGAGAAACAUUCCCCUAACCGUGACUUCCAUUCAUAAGUUCCCAUAUCUCUUCCAUGCUCCGAAAAUAACCAUUAUUGUAAGAAUUGCAUUUGGUCAUCUGAUAAAACCUUAGCAUAUGCCGACUUUAAAGACGAUUGAAUUGAAUUAAAGCUUUUGGAAGUGAAGGAUGGGGAAAGCUUUUUUUCUUGCUAGAAGUAAGUCAGUUGUACCGAUAGAAAACAAGAAUGAGGAAUUCGAAUUAGGCUCUAUUUCGUUUCAAAGCCACAGCCACCUAAAUAAAUAAAAAAAAACUAUUAAUUCCUAUGACUAAACAAGGAACAACAAUGUCAACACUGGGAUCUUAAUCAUAACAAAUGAACAUCAACUUACUCACGAUAAUUCACACGAAAUAGGCAAAGAACAAGGAUGAAUUUAAUGAUAAGGUAACAUCUCAAUGACAUAUACUGAAAUUGACAAGAACAGAUCCAAACUGUUAAACAUCUAUAAAGAAACAAUUCAUGGCAUUUUUCAAAUAGAACAAAAAAUAAAAUACAGAAAAGGGCCCAAAGCAACAACAAUAAAUAUUAUCCCGACAAUCUGAACUUAAAGGAACCAUUAACAGAUUCUAUAAACAUAAAGCAGCUUAAUUUUAUGCCAUAGCUUAAAACAUGAAUCAAUUCUUCAGAUGAGCAGAAAUACAAGCAUUUAGUAUGUACCAAUUGUGAUUUCAUAUUAAGACAAAGCUGAAAAUACAAACGUGAUAAGACACAUACCUAAUUUCUCUAGAAUUAAGUUUGUAGAAGAGAAAGCCAAAUAAAGGCUAAAAUGACAAACCAAAAAUCAACAGAGCUCACCAAAGCAACAUCCACAGCAUCAAGAAAAUCCAGAAAGAAGAGAAGUUGAGCUUUUAAAUCGGUUCUCUUCAAAUCUUCUUUUGAAUUCUAAGUUUCCUUCAGUUUUUUCAGCUUUUAGCGAGUGUCAAAUAAAGUCAGACUAGUGUGGAUUUAUGUGUAUAUAUCGACUGGCCUUUAUUAAAAGAGAAAGAGUGAGGUAUAUCGAUGAGAAUGGGGGUGGCGGCCGAAAGAUUGAAGAAGGAGAAGGGGAAGGUCCGUAUGUGUAUGUUCUAGAAAGAG